UACGUAGGGCGCAAGCGUUGUCCGGAAUUAUUGGGCGUAAAGAGCGUGUAGGCGGCCAAGCAGGUCCGCUGUGAAAACUCGAGGCUCAACCUCGAGACGUCGGUGGAAACCGUUUGGCUAGAGUCCGGAAGAGGAGAGUGGAAUUCCCGGUGUAGCGGUGAAAUGCGCAGAUAUCGGGAAGAACACCCGUGGCGAAGGCGGCUCUCUGGGACGGUACUGACGCUGAGACGCGAAAGCGUGGGGAGCGAACAGG
rnacentral:rRNA from 1 species